rnacentral:rRNA from 1 species
GAGUCGUUAGGAUAGCUUACUAAUCCAUUACUGACGCUGAGGCACGAAAGCGUGGGGAUCAAACAGGAUUAGAUACCCUGGUAGUCCACGCCGUAAACGAUGAUCACUCGCUGUUUGCGAUAUACAGCAAGCGGCUAAGCGAAAGCGUUAAGUGAUUUCUUUGGGGAGUACGAUCGCAAGGUUGAAACUCAAAGGAAUUGACGGGGGCCCGCACAAGCGGAGGAACAUGUGGUUUAAUUCGAUGAUACGCGAGGAACCUUACCUGGGCUUAAAUGGGGAACGACAGCUGCUGAAAGGUGGCCUUCUUCGGACGUUCUUCAAGGUGCUGCAUGGUUGUCGUCAGCUCGUGCCGUGAGGUGUCGGGUUAAGUCCCAUAACGAGCGCAACCCUUACUGUUAGUUGCCAGCGCGUCAAGGCGGGGACUCUAGCGGGACUGCCACCGUAAGGUGAGAGGAAGGUGGGGAUGACGUCAAAUCAGCACGGCCCUUAUGUCCAGGGCUACACACGUGUUACAAUGGCCGGUACAAAGGGCAGCUACUCCGCGAGGGGAUGCCAAUCUUGAAAGCCGGUCUCAGUUCGGAUCGAAGUCUGCAACCCGACUUCGUGAAGUUGGAUUCGCUAGUAAUCGCGCAUCAGCCAUGGCGCGGUGAAUACUUCCCGU